rnacentral:rRNA from 1 species
CUGGUCCUACGGGGCGCAGCAGUGGGGAAUAUUGGGCAAUGGGCGCAAGCCUGACCCAGCAACGCCGCGUGAAGGAAGAAGGCUUUCGGGUUGUAAACUUCUUUUAACAGGGAAGAGUAGAAGACGGUACCUGUCGAAUAAGCCACGGCUAACUACGUGCCAGCAGCCGCGGUAAUACGGAGGAUGCGAGCGUUAUCCGGAUUUAUUGGGUUUAAAGGGUGCGCAGGCGGAAGAUCAAGUCAGCGGUAAAAUUGAGAGGCUCAACCUCUUCGAGCCGUUGAAACUGGUUUUCUUGAGUGAGCGAG